GACAAGAUUGACUUUUGUGAGACAAAAUUGACUUUUGUGAAACAAAAUAUAAUUUUGUGAGACAAAAUUCAAUUUGUCAAUUUUGUCUCACAAAAGUCAAUUUUGUCAAUUUUGUC
rnacentral:sRNA from 1 species